rnacentral:rRNA from 1 species
UGGACGUAUAGGGUGUGAUGCCUGCCCGGUGCUGGAAGGUUAAUUGAUGGGGUUAGCGUAAGCGAAGCUCUUGAUCGAAGCCCCAGUAAACGGCGGCCGUAACUAUAACGGUCCUAAGGUAGCGAAAUUCCUUGUCGGGUAAGUUCCGACCUGCACGAAUGGCAUAAUGAUGGCGGCGCUGUCUCCAGCAGAGGCUCAGUGAAAUCGAAAUCGCUGUGAAGAUGCAGUGUACCCGCGGCUAGACGGAAAGACCCCGUGAACCUUUACUGCAGCUUGACACUGAACUUUGACCUUACUUGUGUAGGAUAGGUGGGAGGCUUUGAAGUUGGAACGCUAGUUCCAAUGGAGCCGUCCUUGAAAUACCACCCUGGUAAUGUUGAGGUUCUAACUCUGUCCCGUUAUCCGGGACGAGGACCGUGUCUGGUGGGUAGUUUGACUGGGGCGGUCUCCUCCUAAAGAGUAACGGAGGAGUACGAAGGUGCGCUCAGCGUGGUCGGAAAUCACGCGUAGAGUAUAAAGGCAAAAGCGCGCUUAACUGCGAGACCCACAAGUCGAGCAGGUACGAAAGUAGGUCUUAGUGAUCCGGUGGUUCUGUAUGGAAGGGCCAUCGCUCAACGGAUAAAAGGUACUCUGGGGAUAACAGGCUGAUACCGCCCAAGAGUUCAUAUCGACGGCGGUGUUUGGCACCUCGAUGUCGGCUCAUCUCAUCCUGGGGCUGAAGCAGGUCCCAAGGGUAUGGCUGUUCGCCAUUUAAAGAGGUACGCGAGCUGGGUUUAGAACGUCGUGAGACAGUUCGGUCCCUAUCUACCGUGGGCGCUGGAAAUUUGAGAGGAUCUGCUCCUAGUACGAGAGGACCAGAGUGGACGAACCUCUGGUGUACCGGUUGUGACGCCAGUCGCAUCGCCGGGUAGCUAUGUUCGGAAGGGAUAACCGCUGAAAGCAUCUAAGCGGGAAGCCUACCUCAAGAUAAGAUUUCCCUAGGAAUUUAUUCCUCUAAAGAGCCGUUCGAGACUAGGACGUUGAUAGGUUGGAUGUGGAAGCAUAGUGAUAUGUGAAGCUGACCAAUACUAAUUGCUCGUGAGGCUUGACUAUACAACACCCAAGCAGUUG